rnacentral:rRNA from 1 species
AACGAACGCUGGCGGCAUGCCUAACACAUGCAAGUCGAACGAGACCUUCGGGUCUAGUGGCGCACGGGUGCGUAACGCGUGGGAACCUGCCCUUAGGUUCGGAAUAACUCCCCGAAAGGGGUGCUAAUACCGGAUAAUGUCUUCGGACCAAAGAUUUUUCGCCUUUGGAUGGGCCCGCGUUGGAUUAGCUAGUUGGUAGGGUAAAAGCCUACCAAGGCGACGAUCCAUAGCUGGUCUGAGAGGAUGAUCAGCCACACUGGGACUGAGACACGGCCCAGACUCCUACGGGAGGCAGCAGUAGGGAAUAUUGGACAAUGGGCGAAAGCCUGAUCCAGCAAUGCCGCGUGAGUGAUGAAGGCCUUAGGGUUGUAAAGCUCUUUUACCCGGGAUGAUAAUGACAGUACCGGGAGAAUAAGCUCCGGCUAACUCCGUG